UACGGGGGGGGCAAGCGUUGUUCGGAAUUACUGGGCGUAAAGGGCGUGUAGGUGGCUUUUUAAGUCUGCCGUCAAAUCCCAGGGCUUAACCCUGGACAGGCGGUGGAAACUACCAAGCUGGAGUACGGUAGGGGCAGAGGGAAUUCCUGGUGUAGCGGUGAAAUGCGCAGAUAUCAGGAGGAACACCGGUGGCGAAGGCGGUUCUCUGGGCAUUACCUGACGCUGAGGAGCGAAAGUGUGGGGAGCGAACAGG
rnacentral:rRNA from 1 species